UGUUUAAUAUUUUGCAAUAAUUGGCCUUGUUCCUGAGCUGUUGGAUUCGGGGCCGUAGCACUGUCUGAGAGGUUUACAUUUCUCACAGUGAACCGGUCU
rnacentral:miRNA from 1 species